CCUACGGGAGGCAGCAGUGAGGAAUAUUGGUCAAUGGGCGCGAGCCUGAACCAGCCAAGUAGCGUGAAGGAUGACUGCCCUACGGGUUGUAAACUUCUUUUAUAAAGGAAUAAAGUGAGGCACGUGUGCCUUUUUGUAUGUACUUUAUGAAUAAGGAUCGGCUAACUCCGUGCCAGCAGCCGCGGUAAUACGGAGGAUCCGAGCGUUAUCCGGAUUUAUUGGGUUUAAAGGGAGCGUAGGCGGCCUUUUAAGUCAGCGGUGAAAGUCUGUGGCUCAACCAUAGAAUUGCCGUUGAAACUGGGGGGCUUGAGUAUGUUUGAGGCAGGCGGAAUGCGUGGUGUAGCGGUGAAAUGCUUAGAUAUCACGCAGAACCCCGAUUGCGAAGGCAGCCUGCCAAGCCAUGACUGACGCUGAUGCACGAAAGCGUGGGGAUCAAACAGGAUUAGAUACCCUUGUAGUC
rnacentral:rRNA from 1 species